AUUUCUGCCGAUGAAAACUGGAGAAUAAGCUCUAUAUUAUUUGGCUCACUGUGGUCGUGUUUCUGUAAUCUAACCAUGAUUGCCAGGAACUCAUCACCUUUGUGGAUCUGGCUACCAAAGUAGGAGACAUCUUCUUAUAUUUGUAAGUUGUGCAAGUGUUGGGCAAGUAGGUUGUUACCAUGAGCACGCAUUGGGGUUGCCA